ACUAUGGAUCAAUGAUAUUUAAAACUCAAAGAGCUUGGCGGUGUUUUAGACUCUUUAGGGGAACCUGUCUCAUAAUCGACAAUCCACGUAAAACCUGACCUUUAUUUGCUAUCAGUUUGUAUACCGUCGUCGUCAGGUAACUUUUUAGAAGAAAGAAGUUAGCAGAAGAGCUUGUCAUAAGCUCUUACGUCAGAUCAAGGUGCAGCCAAUAUAAAGGGGAGGAUGGGUUACAAUUAUAAAAAUUAUAAUUACGAAAUAACAAUUUUAAAUAUUAGUUAUGAAGGAGGACUUAAAAGUAAAAUAAAAUAUGUAAAUAUAUUGAAUCGAGCUCUGAAACGUGCACACAUCGCCCGUCGCUCUCGUUGAAAAACGAGAUAAGUCGUAACAUAGCAGGGGUAAUGGAAAUUGUCCCUAAACU
rnacentral:rRNA from 1 species